ensembl:processed_transcript
AUUAUUCAAAAUGAGCUGCGGGGCUGUGCUGUGGAUUUGUUUUCAGGAUGUGUUCCUGAGUCUCGUGAGUAGCACAUGGCAGUUGUUGUCACCUUGGGCUGAGCCGUGAAGAUUCUCACCCUCCCUUGUUGGGGAUGAACUCCGGGAUUCUAAGGAGAGGUCAGCAGGUGUUUCACAGACUGUUCCUGUUGGAGGAUUUGUCUGAUACUCUUCUCCUGAUUAGUCUGGGCUCUACAUUUCCCCAAGGGUGAAACUUGGAAGCCCUCUCCAGGAUGCAGCAGGUAGCUGAGGAGAAAACGAAGACUGACCAGCCCAGAGCUCAGAGCUUCCUCCCAUGCUCAGGAUUUACCACCAAUGCCAUUACAUCGGCCUCUUCUUGUAUGCCUCUGGAAACCACAUGUGUCCUCUGUUUGUAAUGGUUUGGCUAUGGUUGCUGGCCCCUCUUGGACAUUGUUUUCAGAACUUAAAGAAACAUUGCUUUAAAGAUUUAUUAGAACAUAUUUAAAAUAAAACCAUCUUCUCAUUUAGUAUGCAAUUGAUUCUUCCCAUUUCCUCAGUCAAAACUCAUUGAUCAAAUUUAUUUGAGAAAUCCAGACAUGUAUAUAGCGUAUUGGGGUUAUUCCCAUCCUCCCCCAUAUUCUCUUAUCUCCCUUCCAGCCCUGACGCCCUCAGUCCUCCCUAUGGGCCUAUUCACACAAUCAUGUCUUUUUGUUUUAUGAACCAUUGAUUUUAACCGGGGCCAUCUGUGUUGCCAUGGCUUUAGAAUUAUCUACUGGAACUGGUUGGCUCAAAAUAGACAAAGACUUUCCCUUCCCCCAAGUCCAUCAUAGCUAGGAAUUCAGUCCCUCCGGUCCCCUCCCCAAUUCAUAAUUGACUGUUAGAAAGCCUAGUUUAAUGCAGGCCCUGUGUAGGUACCCAUAGCUACUGUGAGGUCACACCUGAAGAUGUGAAGCCCUUUUCCCUGUCUUCCAUUUCCACUUCUGUGUUCCCUGAGCCCUAGAUGGGAUAGUAUGAAUGUUCUGAUAAUCCGACCAAGUGGUAGUAUAUGUGUUCACUUAGAUAAAACAAAGACAAUACCAAUAGGAAAUGUAUUAUAAGCCCUGCACAUGCUAAAAAUAUAUGUAGCAAAUAACAUUAUUAUAUAAAUUCAGGGUCAUUGCUCUAUGUCAAUGUCAGUGACGUAUCAGUUUCAAAGGAUUUAUAUCACUGUUAAGUUAGAAAUAAUCCACUCUUGCUUGUUGUACAGUGCAUUUGUCCAGAUAGCCUACAAAAAUG